AAAUGUAUGACAUUUGUAAUAAAUUGUGCUCGAUGUUCGUAACAGGUGAUCGUCAUUUUAGAUAUACUUCAAGUAAAACAUAUUAUACAUUAGUUGAAUCGGAUUUUAAGAUUUUUUAAACACAUUUAAAAUGAAACUAAUCCGGAUAUUUACAUUGUCAGUGGUAUUUUUUAUUUAACACAAGAGAAUGAAACGGAUGCGUUAGUAGCACGUAUGAUUGAAGGUGGAGCUAACUUGGCUAUAGAUAUAGGUCUUAAAUUGAUAAAAAUCCCGAUUAUGGUAGGUGGAAAAAUCGUCUGGAAAUGUAUAAAAGUGCCUACUAAGUUUGUUUGGAGUCUUGCAAAAAUUCCUUUUAAAAUUAUUAUUAGACUUGCCUGGAAAUUUUCUAAAAAACCAUUAAAAGCUAUUACGCCACAAUAUUUACAAGAUACUAUAAGACAACACGUAACUAAGUAUCAACUGAAUAAGAAGUUGAGAAAACAAAAAAAAUCAAGGACCCAUCGUUUCAAGAUGGCAGUUAAAAAUAAAAUAAA